UGAGAUUUAUUAUUGCCUCAGUUUUUUAUAAGCUAAAUAAUUUUAUUAAUGGAAGGGAAAUCCCCGUAUACAAAUAGUAUACCAAAAUUUGUAUCUCUCUGGCUACCAAUCAUCUAUACAAACAAGUGCCUCAUGGGUACAUCCCCCAAAAACUAGAGAUUGGAGGCUACUGCUAACAUGUACGAAAUCGUUCUCGAUCUCCUCAGACGCUCUCCUAUUCCUCUCCCUCCAAACAACCUACAUAAUUGAUAGUGGAACUAUAUCCCAUGCCUUGUGACAAACAAAAUCAUUCUUGAUCCUCAUUAUUCUGAAAGGUCAGCUAUAUAUUGCCUCCUUAACUGUUCUUGGCAUGACCCAAUGUACUUCAACCAGUUCCGGGCCCUUCCCUCCACAGGGGUGUAGUUACUUGACAAUGUAAUAGUAAGUGGUGCACAUCUUCUUCUUAACAUCUUCACUAUAGCCAAACUCUCUAUGUGAAUGUUACUUCUUUAAAUGAUCACAAAUAUUAAAAAGAAUGUUGUCAAAUAUUUGAUAUUAACAACAUUAGACAAUCAGCAAUAAAAUAGAUUUAACAAAUUAACGUUGAUGAGUCUGUACAUUUUAUGAGGUAUAGUUAUAUUUUGGAACUGUUAAUGAGGUACAAUGAUUGUAAUAGCCAUUUAUUAAAUUGAUGUGGUGUUAUGACUUAUGCUAUAAAUCAUGUGAAUUAUUGCGUUACUGUAAGCGAAUUACUCUCUAACUCUUGCACAAUAUUUCCAUUUUAACAGCGAGUAUAUUUAUUUAAUUUUAUGAGGUAUAAUUGUUAUACAUUGAUUCAAGAAAGGGGUGUGAUUUUAUGCUAUAGUAAGAUGUGAAAUACUACUAGUCCGGCCGGGGGGUGGGGUGGGGGGGGGAGGAGUGAUGUUUAAGUGUCCCAUAUUGGUUGGGGGAAAUGGAAUGCUUUCUCCUUAUUUGUCUUGGACAAUCUUCACCUGAUGAGCUAGCUCUUGUGGGUUAAGUUUUGAUUUAUUUCUAUUUUCUUUACCUGCCCAAUCCUUUAUCUAAAUCUAUGCAACUCUUAGUGGUGCUCCGUAACAUUUUUCUCUCUUCCAGUUUUUUUGGGAAGUGGCAAGCACUUCUGAUGUUAGUAGUACUAAGAGAGUUCUGUAUGGCAAAAAAGGGAGAAGAAAAAUACUAUCGAAAAAGAGCUAGUAUCAUAAAGGGAUGAGCACCCAUAUUAGUUGGGGGAAUGGAAUGCUUUCUCCUUAUUUGUCUUGGACAAUCUUCACCUGAUGAGCUAGCUCUUGUGGGUUGAGUUUUGAUUUAUUUCCAUUUUCUUUACCUGCCCAAUCCUUUAUCUAAAUCUAUGCAACUCUUAGUGGUGCUCCGUAACAUUUUUCUCUCUUCCAGUUUUUUUGGGAAGUGGCAAGCACUUCUGAUGUUAGUAGUACUAAGAGAGUUCUGUAUGGCAAAAAAGGGAGAAGAAAAAUACUAUCGAAAAAGAGCUAGUAUCAUAAAGGGAUGAGCACCCAUAUUAGUUGGGGGAAUGGAAUGCUUUCUCCUUAUUUGUCUUGGACAAUCUUCACCUGAUGAGCUAGCUCUUGUGGGUUGAGUUUUGAUUUAUUUCCAUUUUCUUUACCUGCCCAAUCCUUUAUCUAAAUCUAUGCAACUCUUAGUGGUGCUCCGUAACAUUUUUCUCUCUUCCAGUUUUUUUGGGAAGUGGCAAGCAUUUCUGAUGUUAGAAGUACUAAGAGAGUGCUGUAUGACAAAAAAGGGAGAAGAAAAGUACUAUCGAAAAAGAGCUAGUAGCAUAAAGGGAUGAGCACCCUCUCUAUGCUGUAUGAAAGAUUCUAUGAACUGUAGCAAGGGCUCAACACUUGUUUGCCCAUUCCAAUUUCCACUAAAAGGACAUCAGAAGUAUACAGUAAUAUAAUUUUCAGUAUGGAGGACCACAACUCCUUCAAAAAACAUUGCUUUUGUUAGAUUUUAGAAUCCCCACCUGCUUUCUAGUAAAAACAACGUUCUUCUGCCCCUUCCAUACAGACUCGUUUACCCCUACUGUACCAACUUAUCCUCGGUUAUUUGGCUCUUCGAAAGAUGAUAGGAUACUGAGACAUUUCUGCCACUCUAAGCACUCACAAUCAUUGAAGUACCUUCAAAAUUUUAAAUUCCAACCAUUGCCUUCCCUGCCCUGUGUGCUAGACUGUUAAUAUCCUGCACUAUGCUUGAACAAGAGGGGAAUUGGUUUUUUAAUGGAGCGUGUGCCAAAAUUGAACUCUUCUUCUAUUGACAAUUUUGAUGUUAAUGCUCUGUGAAAACCAAGGCCAGGAUGCCCUAUUAUUUCUCCAUAUACCAUGCCCAUGUGGAGUUCCAUUUUGGUGUGCCUUUCAUUAUAGGCCACCCCUAUUGGCCUAUUCAUUAUAACAUUUCUCCAUAUCGUUGC
rnacentral:lncRNA from 1 species